rnacentral:rRNA from 1 species
CGGAUUUACUGGGUGUAAAGGGUGCGCAGGCGGACUUAUAAGUUAGAGGUGAAAUCUCACGGCUCAACCGUGAAACUGCCUUUGAUACUGUAGGUCUUGAAUUGGGGAGAGAGAUGUGGAAUUCCGAGUGUAGCAGUGAAAUGUGUAGAUAUUCGGAAGAACACCAGUGGCGAAGGCAGCAUCUUGGCCCCACAUUGACGCUCAGGCACGAAAGCAUGGGGAUCAAACAGGAUUAGAUACCCUGGUAGUCCAUGCCCUAAACGAUGAUCACUUGAUGUCGGCCGCAAGGUCGGUGUCGAAGCUAACGCGAUAAGUGAUCCACCUGGGGAGUACGCUCGCAAGGGUGAAACUCAAAGGAAUUGACGGGGGCCCGCACAAGCAGUGGAGCAUGUGGUUCAAUUCGAUGCAACGCGAAGAACCUUACCUAGGCUUGAAAGGCUCUCUAAACCGUUGAAAGACGGGUACCCGCAAGGGGGGGAGUACAGGUGCUGCAUGGCUGUCGUCAGCUCGUGCCGUGAGGUGUUUGGUUAAGUCCAGCAACGAGCGCAACCCCUGGGUCUAGUUGCCAGCGAGUAAUAUCGGGAACUCUAGAUCGACUGCCUACGCAAGUAGUGAGGAAGGUGGGGACGACGUCAAGUCAUCAUGGCCCUUACGCCUAGGGCUACACACGUGCUACAAUGGCAUCUACAACGCGCUGCAAUACCGCGAGGUGGAGCGAAUCGCUAAAAAGAUGUCUCAGUUCAGAUCGGAGUCUGAAAUUCGACUCCGUGAAGUUGGAAUUGCUAGUAAUCGCAGGUCAGCACACUGCGGUGAAUACGUUCCCGGGCCUUGCACU